rnacentral:rRNA from 1 species
UACGGGGGGGCAAGCGUUGUUCGGAAUUACUGGCGUAAAGGGCUCGUAGGCGGCCAACUAAGUCAGACGUGAAAUCCCUCGGCUUAACCGGGGAACUGCGUCUGAUACUGGAUGGCUUGAGUUUGGGAGAGGGAUGCGGAAUUCCAGGUGUAGCGGUGAAAUGCGUAGAUAUCAGGAGGAACACCGAUGGCGAAGGCAGGUCUCUGGGCAACUACUGACGCUGAGGAGCGAAAGCGUGGGGAGCGAACAGG